GGGCGCAACAGGACAUGCGUCCGCUGAAGCAGGAUGGCCGCUCUCAGGUUUCUCUCUGACGCAGACAGCUGUCUAAAUCUGAAAAAAUCGAUCCCACUUCUAAAUGAGCUAUUCCACAUACAUUGUAAAAUUGGAGAAGGUACAUUUAGCUCUGUCUUUUUGGCUACUAUGAAGUCUUCUAAUAGGCAUAAAAAGUUUGCAUUAAAAUACUUAAUUCCUACUUGUCAUCCUGAAAGAAUUGAACGUGAAUUACAAUGCUUGCAACAAAUGGGAGGUAAAGAUCAUAUUGUUAGCAUAGACUUAUGUUUAAGACAUCAGGGUUCUGUAGUGUUUGUAAUGCCAUAUAUGAAGCAUGAUAAAUUUUCAGAAUAUGUCAGGGAUAUGACUGUAGAAGAAACAAAGGAUUAUAUGAGAGCUUUAUUAAGUGCUGUGCGAAGAGUUCAUCAGUUUAACAUCAUACAUAGAGAUGUGAAACCCAGUAAUUUCCUCUACAAUCGUGCUAAUAGAAAAUAUUUAUUGGUAGACUUUGGGCUUGCUCAGCAGUGCACUGAAUACAAUGCAAAGAAUUUGGAAGCAAUAAAAACCAAUGCAGGAACAACUGAAAUACAAAGCAUGAAGCGAAAGAGAUCUGACGAAUUUAAUUCAAAUGCAAAGAAGGAUGCAGAUAUUAAAUGUAACUGUUUUGGGAAACCUAAAGUAUGCGCAUUAUGUUUAACAAGACCACAGCAAACGGCGCCUCGUGCAGGCACACCUGGAUUUCGUGCUCCAGAAGUUUUAUUGAAACAUCCAUCACAAACUCCAGCAAUUGAUAUUUGGGCUUGUGGCGUGAUGAUGUUAUGCAUACUUAGUGGUACACAAGUGUUUUUUCGUUCGCCUGAUGACUGCACAGCUUUAGCGGAAAUAACAACGAUAUUUGGUUCUCGCAAAGUACAACAAUGUGCAGAAAAAUUAGUGAAAAUUUACCAGGCAUUGAUAUUAUGUCUUUGUGCCUAAAAUUACGAAAAAGAAACAGAAGCAUGAUGCAUAAUAGAGAGAAUAGUACAUGCAAGGUAUUGCCAGAUAUCGAGUAUCCGAAGGAAGCAUACCAACUUUUGAUAAAACUUUUAAAUCUAGAUUAUGAAACACGUAUCACUGCUGAACAGGCGUUAUCUCAUCCAUUCCUGAAUUUGUGAUAUAUUGAUUUUUUUUAUAAAGCAUGUGUCUAAAGGUAUUUAAAAUUAAAGAAAGGAGAG
rnacentral:misc_RNA from 1 species